rnacentral:rRNA from 1 species
AUACGGAGGGUGCAAGCGUUAUUCGGAAUCACUGGGCGUAAAGGACGCGCAGGCGGUUUGGUAAGUCAGAUGUGAAAGCCCACGGCUCAACCGUGGAAGUGCAUUUGAAACUGCCAGACUUGAGUACCAGAGGGGAAAGUGGAAUUCCCGGUGUAGAGGUGAAAUUCGUAGAUAUCGGGAGGAAUACCGGUGGCGAAGGCGACUUUCUGGCUGGAUACUGACGCUGAGGCGCGAAAGCGUGGGGAGCAAACAGGAUUAGAAACCCUAGUAGUCC